GUGCUCACUUAGGCAGCACAUACACUAAAACUGGUACGAUACAGAGAUUAGCAUGACCCUUGCACAAGGGUAACGUGCAAAUUCAUGAAGUGUUCCAUAUUUUU
ensembl:snRNA U6 U6 spliceosomal RNA